rnacentral:rRNA from 1 species
ACGGGUGAGUAAUGUCUGGGAAACUGCCUGAUGGAGGGGGAUAACUACUGGAAACGGUAGCUAAUACCGCAUGACGUCUUCGGACCAAAGUGGGGGACCUUCGGGCCUCACGCCAUCAGAUGUGCCCAGAUGGGAUUAGCUAGUAGGUGGGGUAAUGGCUCACCUAGGCGACGAUCUCUAGCUGGUCUGAGAGGAUGACCAGCCACACUGGAACUGAGACACGGUCCAGACUCCUACGGGAGGCAGCAGUGGGGAAUAUUGCACAAUGGGCGCAAGCCUGAUGCAGCCAUGCCGCGUGUAUGAAGAAGGCCUUCGGGUUGUAAAGUACUUUCAGCGAGGAGGAAGGCAUUAAGGUUAAUAACCUUGGUGAUUGACGUUACUCGCAGAAGAAGCACCGGCUAACUCCGUGCC